AGCAGAUAUAAGGGUGCGGGCCUGCCCUGGGUCUCUGUGGAUGUAGAGAGGCAGUGUGAAGUUUUACCUCACCUCAUUUCCUUUGGCAGUAGCAUUGCUACCAAGCAUGUACUCUAAUAGUGAGGAUGAGGCAUCAGAGGCCAAAACUGCGCCCAACAUGUUCAAUGAGAAGGUGUUCACCAGGCAGUACACUGUCCUGAAGACCUUGGGCCAGGGUGGCACUACUGAAGUGAGGCUAUGCUCCCAUCGCCUCACAGGUGCCCAUGUUGUAGUCAAAGGGCUUGUGAAUCGUGGCAGGUGGUCGGAGCCAAUGGUGCCAGAAGUUGAAAUCAUGAAGAUGCUCAGCCACCCGAACAUUGUUUCCCUUCUGCAAGUGAUAGAAACAGAACAGAACAUUUAUCUAAUUAUGGAAGUGGCCCAAGGACAACAGUUACGACAUCGAGUCCAGGAGGCUGGAUGCCUGAAGGAAGAUGAAGCUAGAAGCAUAUUUGUUCAGUUGCUCAGUGCCAUAGAAUACUGUCAUGGUGAAGGCAUUGUUCACAGAGACCUAAAGCCUGACAAUGUCAUAGUGGAUGAGCAUGGAAAUAUCAAAAUUAUUGACUUUGGGCUAGGUGCCAGAUUCGUGCCUGGGCAAAAACUGCAAAGGUUGUGCGGAGCCUUCCAGUUCAUUCCUCCGGAGAUAUUCCUAGGGCAUCCUUACGAUGGCCCAAAAGUAGACAUGUGGGCCUUGGGGGUUCUUCUGUAUUAUAUGGUGACAGGAUUUGUUCCAUUUACAGGGACCACCUUGGCAAAUAUUAGCAAGAAUGUUCUUCAAGGGAAGUAUGAAAUCCCUUAUAAUCUCUCUAAAAAUGUAAGGAGUGUACUUGGCCUGUUAUUGACAGCAGAUGCAAGGCAGAGGCCAACCGCACAAGACCUCCUAAGUCAUCCAUGGCUUCAAGAAGGAGAAAAGACUUUGACAUUUAAUUCCAAUGGAGACACCAGCUUCCCAGACCCUGACUUAGUGGCGGCCAUGCAAAACAUAGGGUUUUAUGAGGAGGAGAUCAGAGAAUCACUAAAACACAAAAAGUUUGAUGAAACUAUGGCUACAUAUUACUUACUGAGAGUUCAGGCAUGUCAGGAUGAUGGAAAUUAUGUCCAAACAAAGGUAAUGAAUCCAGGAGUAACACCUUUCCCUUCAGCAGCAGACCCUGACUCUUUCCCUCUGCCUCCCAGGAGAAGGGCCAGUGAACCUUGCCUUAAAAUAUUAAUCUCAUCUACUGAAAGACAUCCUCUAAGACAAAGUUGGGGGACAAAUGCUCCUGUUCCACUCAGGAAGACACCCACGAGGGGCAGAGGUCACAAACGGUCCAUGACUGCCCCGUGUCUUUGCUUACUAAGGAGCACUCUGGUGCAUGUAGAAGAUAGCAGCUUUUGUACUAGCUCCCAGUCAGAAAAGGCCUCAAGUGACCCAGAACAGAGUGGGACUUUAACUUCAAGCUCCCUGCAGCCUCGGGGCUGGGCAAAAUGGAAGAAGAGGAUUGGAUCAUGCCUCCGAACACUGUGUUGCUGCAUGUCACCUCCCAAGAAGGGUCCAAGGAAGGUGUGGCACCAAAAGUGAGAGGACACCAGAAGACGACAAGAAGUACAAGGCAUGGUUCAGUGGCAGCCACAAGAUACUGAGAUCCAUGGUUCUAUGGUCCUUGUGUUGCUACUUCAGAUGUGGACACAGAGAUGCAGAAAGAAAAGCAUGGGAAACUGUUGUGAGCUUCUCUUUCCUGGCCUACAAUGCUCCUUUGGCUAGGAAGGAGCUUUUUCCUGAUUGGCUUCUCCUCACCCAGUGCGUGCAGAAGCCCCACCAUUCAGCAGAUAAGUCUAAAUUUUCUCAGUCUUCCUCUCAAUGGCUCUGGCUUCUGAUACCUGAUACCUAAGAUACCUGACAUCAGAGGAAGAGUAGAGACUUCACAGCCAGAUCCAUAAGCCUGCUUUUCAAAGAAAGGAGGGAGACUGAGGCUGCUCUCAAGACCUUCCGGCAGUGGACCACCCAGACUUGAUGCUCCAGCUCAGGCUGCGAGGACAUUCCUGCUCCUUCCACUAAAACUCAACAUGCAGUUGCAGCGGGGGACUGGCUCCUGUGGAGGGGACCUAUCUACAGUUCUGCCUUCUGAGACCUGUUGCUUCUGGGACCUGCCAUUCACAGAGAACUCUUCUUCCUUGACUUUGGGGACCUCCUAGAGCUGAUGGUUAUAUCUCUCCCAGUCUUUCUUGAUUAGCAUUCUACUGCCAAUGAGAGUCUUAGGGUUUCUAUUUAGGGGGGGUGUCUAUUUAUAUAUUUAGUUGUCUGUUUCCAUGUUGGAAGUAAAACUGCCUGAUUUUG